rnacentral:snRNA from 1 species
CCCAACUGACAGACUUCC